AUGAAGUACAGCUUUGAGACAAAGCGCUGCUCCUGCUUGCUUGCUUUUUUUUUCUCUUUUUUUUCUCUUUUUUUCUUUUUCUCUUUUUUCUCUUUUUAUUUUUUUUUUUUUUCUUUUUUCUUUUUUCUUUUUUUCCUUUUUUCCUUUUUUUCUUUUUUUCUUUUUCUUUUUUUCCUUUUUUCCUUUCUUUUUCUUUUUUUCCUUUUUUCCCUUUUUCCCUUUUUUCCUUUUUUCCUUUUUUUCCUUUUUUUUUCUUUUUUUCCUUCUUUUUUCCUUCUUUUCCCCUCUUUUCCCCUCUUUUCCCUCUUUUCCCCUCUUUUCCCCUCUUUUCCCCUCUUUUCCCCUCUUUUCCCCUCUUUUCCCCUCUUUUCCCCUCUUUUCCCCUCUUUUCCCCUCUUUUCCCCUCUUUUCCCCUCUUUUCCCCUCUUUUCCCCUCUUUUCCCUCUUUUCCCCUCUUUUUCCCCUCUUUUCCCCUCUUUUCCCCUCUUUUCCCCUCUUUUCCCCUCUUUUCCCCUCUUUUCCCCUCUUUUCCCCUCUUUUUCCCCCCUCUUUUCCCCUCUUUUCCCUCUUUUCCCCUCUUUUCCCCUCUUUUCCCCUCUUUUCCCUCUUUUCCCCUCUUUUCCCCUCUUUUCCCCUCUUUUCCCCUCUUUUUCCCUCUUUUCCCCUCUUUUCCCCUCUUUUCCCCUCUUUUCCCCUCUUUUCCCCUCUUUUUCCCUCUUUUCCCUCUUUUCCCCUCUUUUCCCCUCUUUUCCCCUCUUUUCCCCUCUUUUCCCCUCUUUUCCCCUCUUUUCCCCUUUUUUUUCCUUUUUUUUCCUUUUUUUUUUUUUUUUAGCAGGGUGUGGCCCAGGUUUUUCAGUAACAGAAUUUUGCUUCGGGGUUUGUGGGAUCUUCAGUCUUGAGGCCCCAGAUGAUGUUCCCAGCAGUGCCAUUGCAUUCCUUCCAGUAAUAAAACUGAAAUGGCAUAAACAGUGUAUUUACUCCAUUUUAUGUAAUAAAAGAAAUACCUUGAAGCAAAAUGUCAUCUUCAGUAAUCAAGGAUGUAGAUUUUCCUUCUUAGUAGUGCUGACAGUCAUUCCUGAUUUUUCUAAAUUGCUUAUGAGAGGUUUGUACAGGAACUUACCUGGAUUGGGAGAAAAUGUUUAA
rnacentral:lncRNA from 14 species